rnacentral:rRNA from 1 species
UACGUAGGUGGCAAGCGUUGUCCGGAAUUAUUGGGCGUAAAGCGCACGUAGGCGGUUCGUUAAGUCAAAUGUGAAAGCCCCCGGCUCAACCGGGGAAGUGCAUCUGAAACUGGCGAGCUAGAGUACGAAAGAGGGUCGCGGAAUUCCCGGUGUAGAGGUGAAAUUCGUAGAUAUCGGGAGGAACACCGGUGGCGAGGGCGGCGACCUGGGUCGAUACUGACGCUGAGGUGCGAAAGCGUGGGGAGCAAACAGG